rnacentral:rRNA from 1 species
GACGAACGCUGGCGGCGUGCUUAACACAUGCAAGUCGAACGAAGUGGCGAACGGGUGAGUAACGCGUAAUCAACCUGCCCUUCCGAGGGGGACACCAGUUGGAAACGACUGCUAAUACCGCAUACUGCAGUAGGAGAUUGCGUCUGCUUAGCUAGUGGGAGGGGUAACGGCCCACAAAGGCGAUGAUAAGUAGCCGGGCUGAGAGGAUGAACGGCCAUAUUGGGACUGAGACACGGCCCAGAGUCAUACGGUAUGCAGCCGUGGGGAAUCUUCCGCAAUGGACGAAAGUCUGACGGAGCAACGCCGCGUGAGUGAUGACGGCCUUCGGGUUGUAAAGCUCUGUUAAUCGGGACGCGGUACCGGAAUAGAAAGCCACGGCUAACUACGUGCCAGCAGCCGCGGUAAUAC